rnacentral:misc_RNA from 1 species
GAAAUGCGAUAAGUAGUGUGAAUUGCAGAAUUCAGUGAAUCAUCGAAUCUUUGAACGCACAUUGCGCCCUUCGGUAUUCCGUUGGGCAUGCCUGUUCGAGCGUCAUUUAACCAUUCAAGCUCAGCUUGGUGUUGGGUGCUUGUCCUCCCCGUGGUGGACUCACCUCAAAUGCAUUGGCGGCCGGUAUGUUGGCUUCGAGCGCAGUAGAAACGCGCCAGACGUCCUGACAUGCUGGUCCCCCACAAGACCAUUCUUUAUAGCUUGACCUCGGAUCAGGUAGGGAUACCCGCUGAACUUAAGC